rnacentral:lncRNA from 1 species
UGACUACUAAGCCACUUUCCAUCAUCUAUCAGCGGUCAUGGUCAUCUGGAGAGGUCCUGGAUGACUGGAGACUUGUUAAUGUGACGCCCAUCUAUAAGAAGGGUCUUAAGGAUGAUCUGUCAGCCUGACCUUGGUGCCAGGAAAGGUGAUGGAACAGGUCAUCUUGAAUGCAAUCACACAGCAUAUGCAGGACACAUCAGCAUGGCCGAGUUAGCAUGGGUUCAUGAAAGGCAAGUCCUGCCUGACCAACCUUAUCUUCUUCUAUGACCAGGUGACCUGCCUGGUGGACGAAGGAAAGGCUGUUGAUGUAGUCUACCUAGACUUCAUCAAAGCCUUUGACAUGGUCUCCCACAGUAUUCUCCUGGAGAAGCUGGCAGCCCAUGGCUUGGACAGGUACACUAUUUGCUGGGUUAAAAACUGGCUGGAUGGUCAGGUCCAGAGAGUAGUUGUGAACAGAGUGAAAUCCAGCUGGCAACUGGUCAUGAGUAGUGUUCCCCAGAGGUUGGAGCUGGGGCACAUCCACUUUAAUAUCUUUACUGAUGAUUUGGAUGAGGCAAUUGAGAGUACCCUCAGUAAGUUUGCAGAUGACAACAAGCUGGGGGGAAGUGUUGAUCUUCCAGAGGGUAGGAAGACCCUGCAGAGGGACUUGGACAGGUUGAGUCAGUGGACAGAGGCCAGUGGGUUGAGGUUCAACACAGCUAAGUGCUGGGUCAUGCACUUUGGCCACAACAACCCCAUACAGGGCUACAGGCUUGGGGCAGAGUGGCUCGAAAGCUGUGCAGAGGAAAAGGAUCUGGAGAUGUUGGUUGAUGCUCAUCUGAACAUGAGUUGGCAGUGUGCUCAGGUGGCCAAGAAGGCCAACGGCAUCCUGGCUUGUAUCAGGAACAGUGUAGCCAGCAGGAUCAGGGAGGUGAUCAUCCCCCUUGUAUUCUGCUGUGGUGAGGCCACACCUUGAGUACUGUGUUCAUUUUUGGGCCCCCCACUACAAGGAGGACAUUGAGGCCCUGGAGUGUGUCCAGCAGCUGGUGAAG